AAGACCUUGCACUUUUGGAACGGCCGAUGUCUGAUUAGCUAGUUGGUGGGGUAAAGGCCUACCAAAGCUUCGAUCAGUAGCUGGUCUGAGAGGACGGCCAGCCACACUGGGACUGAGACACGGCCCAGACUCCUACGGGAGGCAGCAGUGGGGAAUUUUGGACAAUGGGCGCAAGCCUGAUCCAGCCAUGCCGCGUGAGUGAAGAAGGCCUUCGGGUUGUAAAGCUCUUUCAGCCGGGAAGAAAAGGCUGCGACUAAUAAUCGCAGUUCAUGACGGUACCGGAAGAAGAAGCACCGGCUAACUACGUGCCAGCAGCCGCGGUAAUACGUAGGGUGCGAGCGUUAAUCGGAAUUACUGGGCGUAAAGGGUGCGCAGGCGGUUUUGUAAGUCAGAUGUGAAAUCCCCGGGCUUAACCUGGGAACU
rnacentral:rRNA from 1 species